ensembl:lncRNA
ACAAUUCAUUUAUAUUUGAUCUCUUUCUACCAAAUCCAGUUAAAAGCAAGCAGUAAUAAUUACGUCUGCAUCGACAUGGGCAGCCAUAUGUUUUACAAAACUCCUCACUGUUGUUCUUCUAUCUUCCUAACGGUUUAGUCACCCUCUUACAAAGUCUGAAUUUCUUGGAAGAAUUUCUCGCUUUUCCUAACUGCUGAGUUUGAAGACAGAAAGCCUGCUUUUUAGUUGGGACGCUGGCAGCCACCUCUGUGCCCAGAUGGGCAAAGCGACCCGAACGGCCUCGCUCGGCUCCCGACGGGGUCUCCGGAGCAGGCGGGACUGAAAGGUGUCUUUCUGAAAGAGUUAAAGAUCAGGCUACCGUGAUCCUGCUAUAAAGCAGCACAACGCAUCAGAGCUCACUCUUGGAAGCAGCCCUCAUGCCCAUCAACAGAUGAAUGGUGAAAGAAAAUGAGGCGUUUACACGAUGGAGUACUACUCUGCUAUGAAGAGGGAUAGAGUUACUCAUUUGUGGGAAAAUGGAUGUACCUCGAGACCACAGUGUGAAGUGAAGCCCGAUGCUGUCGUCUGCGAGCAAGGAAGCUUUGUCGUGGGUCUUGUACUCUGCUAGGAUAAGAGGCGCUGCGAAAACGCUGCCCACAGAUAACCGACAUCUCCUCUCCUGAGUGCUGGGGGAGCCUAAAAUAUCGUGAGACGAGGGGGGAGCGCAGGGCAUGCGGACAAGCGCUUCGGACGGGCAGCAGCAUGCUUGGGCGUUGGACAAGCUGCUGGGAGCAGAUUUGGAAGCCCGGGCUCAGCAAUCAAAGGGGACAGCGGUCAGCAUGGGGCCGGAAAGGAGGCAGGCACUGAGCCGCUGUGCUCACCAAUUAGCCUCUGACUCCCAACUCUGCGAGACUGAAGGAUUCUGAGCAGAAACAAGAAGAUUUAACCAGAAUCUGUCUCCAGCAGAAAGGAGAGGGUGGAGUUCUUCGUCCUCCGUCUGAGUCAGGACUAAGAACUCACGGAAGCCAGAGGCACGAAGGCUCUGGAGAGCUGAGACCUUGAUCCGAGGGACAGAUUUAAUGUGAAGGCAUCUUGUGCUAAGGUAAACAGAUGUGGAAUGGAACCCGAGUCCUCACCUGAAGCACUGGAGAUGAAGUACUGGAGGUGUGGCCGGCCGCAUGCAGAGGGCGCUGGAGGAGCAGCCUGGUGCUCACUCGCACACUGCUGCAGGCCAGAUCGGCAAGAUCAAAGGGGAGUGUCUGACAAAUGUCUGGCCCCUGCCCACCAGCCCUUCACCGUGCCCCGGCUCCACCUGCCUGAAACCCGAGUGCCUGCAGGGAUGCGUGGGCCCUGCCUAGGAGGGUGACUGGUGACGUUUGGUAGCACGGUGUGCUUGGCUUCAUGCAGCAUGUGGCAGGGCAGUGGGUGGCAUGCCAUCGCUCUUCACUUGCUCCAGCAUCUCUCUGAGGAGCUCGGGAUGAGGCUAUCCAUGGCUGGAGAUGCUGGGCAGAUGCGUAGAUACGUGUGUGUAACAUGUGUAUCUUACACAGAUACCUGUAGAAGGAUAUGCACAGCCUCCUGUAUGUCUAAAGAAUAUUUAUGUUAAGGAACUGGC